rnacentral:rRNA from 1 species
AAUGAACGUUGGCGGCGUGGAUUAGGCAUGCAAGUCGAGCGAGAACCAGUCUUCGGACUGGGGACAGCGGCGAACGGGGUAGGAAUACCUCGGUGACAUACCCUCCGGUCGGGGAUAGCGGCGGGAAACUGCCGGUAAUACCCGAUGAUCUUCCUUGAUUUUAGCUUUGGGGAAGCAAAGGUGUGAUUCCGUCGGAGGAGCGGCUGAGGUCGUAUUAGCUGGUUGGUGAGGUAACGGCUCACCAAGGCGAUGAUGCGUAGGGGGUGUGAGAGCAUGGCCCCCACCACUGGCACUGAGACACUGGCCAGACACCUACGGGUGGCUGCAGUCGAGAAUCUUCGGCAAUGGGCGCAAGCCUGACCGAGCGACGCCGCGUGCGGGAUGAAGGUCUUCGGAUUGUAAACCGCUGUCGGAGGGGAUGAAAUGCAUCGGGGUACUCCCCGGUGUUUGACAGAGCCUCGGAGGAAGCACGGGCUAAGUUCGUGCCAGCAGCCGCCGUAACAC